GCUCUGAGGAGCCUAGUGUUAGGUUGGACCCUAAAGUAGCCAUGGCAGCCCGCAUUCAGCUCCUUUCCCUCCUGUUACUCUGGCUCCCAGAUACCACAGGAGAAAUUGUGCUGACCCAGACUCCAGCCUCUGUGGCUAUGUCUCCAGGGGAAAGAGUCACCCUCACCUGCAGGGCCAGUCAGAGUGUUGGCAGCUACUUAGCCUGGUACCAGAAGAAACCUGGGCAAGCUCCCAGACGCCUCAUCUAUGGUGCAUCCAGCAGGGCCAGUGGCAUCCCAGCCCGGUUCAGUGGCAGUGGGUCAGGGACAGACUACACCCUUUCCAUCAGCAGCUUGGAGCUUGAGGAUGAUGCAGUUUAUUAAUGUGUGCAAGGCCACACAGAUUACCACAGCGGUUCUGUCCC